rnacentral:rRNA from 1 species
CAAUAGCGUAUAUUUAAGUUGCUGCAGUUAAAAAGCUCGUAGUUGGAUUUCGGGUGGGAAUGGCCGGUCCGCCGUUUCGGUGUGCACUUGCUACGCCCACCUUGCUGCCGGGGACGUGCUCUUGAGUUCACGCUCGGGACACGGAGUCGGCGAGGUUACUUUGAGUAAAUUAGAGUGUUCAAAGCAGGCCUACGCUCUGAAUACAUUAGCAUGGAAUAACACGAUAGGACUCUGGCCUAUCUUGUUGGUCUGUAGGACCGGAGUAAUGAUUAAGAGGGACAGUCGGGGGCAUUCGUACUCCGACGUUAGAGGUGAAAUUCUUGGAUCGUCGGAUGACGCACUACUGCGAAAGCAUUUGCCAAGAAUGUUUUCAUUAA